GCCCGGUUAGCUCAAUCGGUAGAGCGUGAGACUCUUAGUCGAGUACGCGAUCUCAAGGUUGCGGGUUCGACCCCCGCAUCGGGCU
rnacentral:tRNA from 4 species